CGAACGCUGGCGGUAUGCUUAACACAUGCAAGUCGAACGAGGUUGCUGAGAAGCUUGCUUUUUAGUAAUUUAGUGGCAAACGGGUGAGUAACACGUGGGAAUCUGCCUAUCAGUACGGAAUAACACCUGGAAACAGAUGCUAAUACCGUAUAUUCUCUACGGAGGAAAGAUUUAUCGCUGAUAGAUGAGCCCGCGUCAGAUUAGGUAGUUGGUAGGGUAAUGGCCUACCAAGCCUACGAUCUGUAGCUGGUCUGAGAGGAUGAUCAGCCACACUGGGACUGAGACACGGCCCAGACUCCUACGGGAGGCAGCAGUGGGGAAUAUUGGACAAUGGGCGAAAGCCUGAUCCAGCAAUACCGCGUGAAUGAUGAAGGCCUUAGGGUUGUAAAGUUCUUUUAGUAGGGAAGAUAAUGACGGUACCUACAGAAAAAGCCCCGGCUAACUCC
rnacentral:rRNA from 1 species